rnacentral:tRNA from 1 species
UGGGAGAGCGUCUGCCUUACAAGCAGAGGGUCACAGGUUCGAGCCCUGUAACCUCCAUUGAGUCGUUAGCUCA